GGUUUUUUGGGGCAGAUUGACUAAACUUAUGUAGAUUAUUGGGUUUUCUAAGAUUGUGGUGCAUGAGUUGAAUUCUUUAAGUCAACCCAUGAGUAAGGAAGUAGCUGUAAUGGAAGAGGUAGUUGCUACGCGUGUUAUCAAAGAACAAGACGACAUGGCUAAACCAUUUGGUAGCUAGAAGUUCUAUGAGUAGUUCUCAUAUUAAUCCUCCCAGGGAGGAACCUUGAUCACUUGCUGUUAGUCAACUCAAGGAAUUUGAGGGAAUAAAGGCGCUGGUGCAGAAACAAGCUAUUACGGGCUAUGGAGCUGCAUUACCUGAAUAUAUUUAAAUGGGAUCAAAUUAGGACAGCACCAUUCUGGCUCGAUGUCUAAAAUAUCUGCGUGCAGUCAUCAAAGGCAUUUUUGAAACAUAUGUGGAAGAACUCGUGGACGAAGAACAAAUAAUUACACUUGAAGAGCUACUAAGUGGACUUAAACUGGUUAGAUUCGAUGUGUCAUGUAUAGAGAAAAGGCUACACACGGUUAAGGAGCUAAAGUUUGGAAAUGAUCCAUUAAGCCAAGAGCUUAUGGUAUUACAUGUGAGGGCUUAGCUAAAACUUUUGUAUUAACGUAAAUGUGUUCUAAUACUGAAGUAUAUGUACUACAUGCCGAUG